GAAGCUAUAGCUCAGUGGUAGAGUGUAUGCUUAGCAUGCACGAGGUCCUGGGUUCAAUCCCCAGUACCUCCA
rnacentral:tRNA from 1 species